GACGAACGCUGGCGGCGUGCUUAACACAUGCAAGUCGAACGGUGAACCUCUUCGGAGGGGAUCAGUGGCGAACGGGUGAGUAACACGUGGCCAACCUGCCCCCGGCUCUGGGAUAACUCCAAGAAAUUGGGGCUAAUACCGGAUGUUCACCGCUUCCCGCAUGGGUGGUGGUGGAAAGGGUUUCCGGCUGGGGAUGGGCCCGCGGCCUAUCAGCUUGUUGGUUGGGGAGUGGCCUACCAAGGCGACGACGGGUAGCCGGCCCGAGAGGGUGACCGGCCACACUGGGACUGAGACACGGCCCAGACUCCAACGGGAGGCAGCAGUGGAGAAUAUUGCGCAAUGAGCGGAAGCCUGACGCGGCGACGCCGCGUGGGGGAUGACGGCCUUCGGGUUGUAAACCGCUUUCAGCAGGGACGAAGCGCAAGUGACGGUACCUGCAGAAGAAGCACCGGCCAACUACGUG
rnacentral:rRNA from 1 species